GAGGUCAAUGAACACAUUAACGCGUCAAAUGAAUUGGCUGAUCCUAGAUAUGCUCCAGAGGUUUCUUAUGAAAAGAAAAUCACAGCUUCGGAUCUCGGACAAUCUAGAUUGUAUUUGGCUUCAAAAUUUGCUGUGUAUCUUAUACCAUCUGGAGAUGGUUCGAUUUAGACGAUCACCGGUCCAGAUUCCAAUGUAGAGAAGAAUGUGUUCUUUUUUCACUUACUGAAUAGUGGAGGAAGACGU